rnacentral:lncRNA from 1 species
CUUGGCUGAAGAUGUGUGAUCAUAUACUAUGAAGUGAAGAGUUAGUUCCUCUGGGAUGAUGUUUUCCAAAGGACCUGGAAACUUCCUGAGAAAUAAUUAACCCUAAGGGGAGAGGGACUCUGUGAAUGCUGGAAAAAUAGUGAAAAUCAUGGAGCAACAAAAGAAUUAUAUUUUUUCUUAUGUGAAGUAUAUAUGGGCAUUUGAGAACUCACAAGAGAUGGUUCAUGUCAUUACUGGGGCUGAAGAAAUAAGAAAAAAGAAUGGUUAUUGGAAUCUGAAAACUGGGAGUGCCGAGUGGAUAGAGCUGUGUAACAGGACCUGUGGCCUUAGGCGAGUGACUUAGCCGUGCCAUGCCAACUCUGUUGGGAGAGUCAAGGUAUUUCACAUUGUUCCCUCCCUCAAAUCUCAUUAUCGCUUGUUUGUCAAGCUUUUUUGUCUUCCCCAAACAACUGUUUGCACGUUGAUUAUAUUGGAACCCUUCCUUUAUUCCAGGGAUGGACACGUAUUUCAAAUAUGAAAUUGCCUUUUUUGUUCUUUUUUUUUUUUCAAUAUAACCAUUUAUGAGCUUUCAUAUACCUUAACUUUCAGUUUGGAUCUCAUCUACAGAUAAAUUACCUGAUAGAACUUAGUAUGAUCCCUGUGUUAUGGAUACAUGUUUUCUGGUGGAAGGACAAGAGUGGAAGCAAAAGGACAAAGGAGAUCAACUGGGUAGAAUAACUCAUUGAUCCCACCAGGGCCUCCUUCCACCAUUCUCCAUCCUACUUUCUACUCUGAUAGGCAGACUUAUAUGGAAAAAAAGGGAGAGACUAUUACUGGAGUCUUUACACCCCUGACUUCCUUUCUGCUGGGUUGCUAUAGCC